rnacentral:rRNA from 1 species
GACGAACGCUGGCGGCGUGCUUAACACAUGCAAGUCGAACGGUAAGGCCCUUCGGGGUACACGAGUGGCGAACGGGUGAGUAACACGUGGGUGAUCUGCCCUGCACUUCGGGAUAAGCCUGGGAAACUGGGUCUAAUACCGGAUAGGACCCUGGGAUGCAUGUCCUGGGGUGGAAAGCUUUUGCGGUGUGGGAUGGGCCCGCGGCCUAUCAGCUUGUUGGUGGGGUGAUGGCCUACCAAGGCGACGACGGGUAGCCGGCCUGGGAGGGUGACCGGCCGCACUGGGACUGGGAUACUGCCCAGACUCCUAGGGGAGGCAGCAGGGGGGAAUAUUGCACAAUGGGCGCAAGCCUGCUGCAGCGACGCCGCGUGAGGGAUGACGGCCUUCGGGUUGUAAACCUCUUUCAGCACCGACGAAGCGCAAGUGACGGUAGGUGCAGAAGAAGGACCGGCCAACUACGUGCCAGCCGCCGCCGUAA